AUGGAGCCCGCCGCCCGCAUUCCGAGCCCCGCGCUCCGCGCCUGCAGCGCCAUGGGGGAGGGGCGGGGCGGGCCGCCAGAGACCCGGGGAAACAUGGCUGCUCGUCCUAUUUCGGCGUCGCGGCGUGGCCACCAAACCCCGGAACAGAGUUGGGAGAGGCUCAGAAGAGGCUCCCGCGCCGGCGGAAUUCAAUCAAUAAAUCCCGAACCCACGGCCGCGCGUUUUAGGACUUUGAAGGCUCAACCAGCUCCGCUCGGUUCUCGAGCCCCCAGCACCCGCCGCGCACACUAACCUGAUCACGGUGGAGGCGGGAUCUGCCUCCCUGCGGACGAGCGGCAGCAGGUUGAGCCAAUCCCCGCCAAGGGUCUCCGGGCAACAGCCAAUGGUGGCGGCGGCGGGGGGGGAAGGGACCAAUGCGCGGGCUGCGCAGCCGGCCAGGGAGGUUCAGCCAUUUGGUUGUGGUGCCCGAGACGGACCCCUUUAGAUUUCGGGGCGGCUGAGGAGCGCGGCGGCUGCUCGGUGGCUGAACGAGGGGGGUGGGCGGAAUGGCGGGGGAAGGGAAAGUGACUGUGCCCCAAGGGCCGAGCCCCCCGGCCUGGCCAGCCCGCCGCCGCCUCAGCGUUUGGCCGGGGGCGGGGCCGCAGGUGCGUUAUUUGAGGGGGAGGGGCGCGGCCGGAGGGGUAGGGUCGGGGUCUCUACCGGGCCGAGGGCUUUGCUGGGCCGCCUAGGGCCUACCCGCGCCCCCUGACGGGAUCGCGGAAGGUGACUGGCGGCUCGAGGUCUGGGGUCCGCCAGCAGGCGGGCGGAAAAGGGCCGGGGGGGGGGGGGGGGGGAGGGGUCAAGGGUGCAGAGGGGGAGGGGCCGCUCAUUUUCUGGGUCCGGCGGCUGAGCCGGAGGAGCGUGGCUCCCCGCAACCUCUGGUCUUCUGCCGCGGCCGCCUACCUGCUGGCUGCAGUCCAUCCUCUUGAGCCCCUUCCCCUCCGGCAGUGGCCACCGCAGCCCUUCGAAUAAAUAAGUUAAAAAAAGCAAGAUGCUUCCACCUUCGGAUUACUUAAUGCGCUGGUCUCGACCCCUCUCCACAGAGAGGCUUUUCAUUUUGCGGUCACAUACGGUCAGCUUGGGAGGGCUGAUCAUCAAGAGGCACUCCGGAUCUUGUUUAGGCAAUAAAUGAAUGAAGACUGGAUUUGGGAUAACUUGAUAUAUGUAUAGAAUAUUAAAAUGUGGAAAAGGAUUCUAAUAACUCCUGGAUUUCUGAGAUAAAGGUAAUACAUGGGCUUUGUAGACCUUGUUCAAGAAACGGUACAGACCUAGUUCAAGAAAAUCGUCCACCUGAGUCAUUUGGUUCGAUCUGGGUUGCCAAGGAGGCUGUACUUGGAGCACUUUCUCGAGGUUUUUUGGUUUGCUUGAUUUGGAUUUUUAAAAAUCACAUUGGUUGUUGGGGGGGUGGGGGCGCCUUUUAAGCCGUAAUUCCCACCGAGUUAUCAACUCUAUGACCAGGCGUAGGGGCCUGUCGGGUACUAAGUUGGCUACCGAUGGCUAUUAAUAAAUAGGGAUCGUUGUAAAGAAGAACAGAUACAGAAGACACCCUCAUCUUUACUUUAAAUUAGUCUUACCCUUCCACACAACUGUUUUGUAGUGUCUCCGUUUCUACGUGUCUACACACUUCCCCACACAUCCCACACAGAACUUUUCUUUUUGAUAAGUUGUGCUUAUUUUUCAGGGACAUGGAUUCAAGGGAGAGAUAAACAAGUAGGUAUGUUGCAAAUUUGAAAUAUUGUUGCAUAACACCCAUACAGUUUCAUUCUUGAGCUAUAAGGUUUAGGAGGAUAU
ensembl:lincRNA